rnacentral:rRNA from 1 species
CCUACGGGAGGCAGCAGUGAGGAAUAUUGGUCAAUGGACGAGAGUCUGAACCAGCCAAGUAGCGUGAAGGAUGACUGCCCUAUGGGUUGUAAACUUCUUUUAUAUGGGAAUAAAAUGUUCCACGUGUGGGAUUUUGUAUGUACCAUAUGAAUAAGGACCGGCUAACUCCGUGCCAGCAGCCGCGGUAAUACGGAGGAUCCGAGCGUUAUCCGGAUUUAUUGGGUUUAAAGGGAGCGUAGGUGGAUUGUUAAGUCAGUUGUGAAAGUUUGCGGCUCAACCGUAAAAUUGCAGUUGAAACUGGCAGUCUUGAGUACAGUAGAGGUGGGCGGAAUUCGUGGUGUAGCGGUGAAAUGCUUAGAUAUCACGAAGAACUCCGAUUGCGAAGGCAGUUCACUGGACUGCAACUGACACUGAGGCUCGAAGGUGUGGGUAUCAAACAGGAUUAGAUACCCUUGUAGUC